GGGUGCGAUCAUACCAACGUUAAUGCACCGAAUCCCAUCAGAACUCUACAACUAAGCAUGCUUGGGCUAGAUUAGUACUGGGAUGGGUGACCUCCCGGAAAGUCCUAGUGUUGCACCCU
rnacentral:rRNA from 1 species